rnacentral:snRNA from 1 species
GAAAUUGAUUCCGAUUUUAAUCAUUAAUUAUUGAUAGAUUAGCAUGGCCCCUGCGCAAGGAUGACACGCAAAAUCGUAAAGUAUUCCACAUUUUU